GGCUUAUACAUGAUCUUGCAGAUCUUCUUUUAUUGUUAGAUUUUACUGAUCAAGUGGCAUGAUAAUGUUAAUCCAAUCGACAAUCAAUAUAAAAAAUGACGCAAUCAAGAUGUAAAAUACCUUAUAUAAGAUAGUAUAAAAGAGUAUAAAUAAGUAUAGGGGAACAUAACACGGUAUCUAUCAUUGUGAAAUUAGGUGUGAAAGAUCAUAACAUCAGAAAACCUUCUCAAAAUACAAAACUACCUAUGUUUUGUAUUUAGAGAACUGAGUCUUUUAACGUUAAGCUGUGGUGAGGGAUAAAAAUGUUUCAGUAUUUUUAUUAAAAUUUCAUGCCUAUGUAGUAGGGGAGUCAAGUAUGGUAACUUUGCAGUUACUCGAGCGUUAUGGGUACUUAUUAGUUGUGAAGGUGAGGUCCUAAAACCAAAAAAA
rnacentral:lncRNA from 1 species